AUUUUUUUUAAAACAAUUACUAUAAAACAAAAUUUAUUUUUUAAUAUCAAGUUUAUUUAUAAAUUCUUCACACAACACAUGUAUAUUUUAAAUUUCUAUACAAAAAAAUAUUAUAAUUCAAUAGCUCUAAGCUUAAAAUUUCAGUUUAUUAAGAUAUCUAAGUUAAAAUCUUUCGAAUUGAAUAUGAAUUGGCCCGCGAAUAAAAAGCCGGCUUAUCAGCACCCUAUUUAGGGCCUAAUAAUAAUUAUCUUUGGCAUCCAAAACAAUAUAUUGUAGGAAAAACUUCAAAAACCCUCCUGUAGUUUCACUUUUUCUCACUUUAGUAUCCUGUGGUUUAAAAUGUAUCAAGUUAGUAUCCUGUGGUUUCGCUCUUUCUCACUUUAGUACUCUGUGGUUUAAUAUUUUAUUCGGAGAAAAAUAAAACUACAGAGUACUAACUUGAUACAAAAAUAAAACCAUAAGGUACUAACUUAAUACAAAAAUAGAAAUCACGGGGUACUAAAGUAAGAAAGUGCGAAACCACAGAGUACUAACUUGAUACGCUUGAAACCACAGGAUACUAAAGUGAAAAAGUGUGAAACCACAGUGUACUAACUUGAUACACUUGAAACCACAGGGUACUAAAGUGAAAAAGUGCGAAACCACAGCGUACUAACUUGAUAAACUUGAAACUAUAGGAUACUAAAGUGAAAAAAUACGAAACUACAGGGGUUUUUUUUGAAGUUUUCCC
rnacentral:lncRNA from 1 species